rnacentral:rRNA from 1 species
CAGCAGCCGCGGUAAUACAGAGGGUGCGAGCGUUAAUCGGAUUUACUGGGCGUAAAGCGUGCGUAGGCGGCUUCUUAAGUCGGAUGUGAAAUCCCUGAGCUUAACUUAGGAAUUGCAUUCGAUACUGGGAAGCUAGAGUAUGGGAGAGGAUGGUAGAAUUCCAGGUGUAGCGGUGAAAUGCGUAGAGAUCUGGAGGAAUACCGAUGGCGAAGGCAGCCAUCUGGCCUAAUACUGACGCUAAGGUACGAAAGCAUGGGGAGCAAACAGGAUUAGAUACCCCUGUAGUCCCUGUCUCUUAUAC